AUGAUGGUUUCACGUCAGCGGACCUCUGCCUCUUGGGCUUGCGUGGAGGUUCCGCGUCAGUGGCGCUCCGCCUCUCAGGUUUCGGCGACGGCUGCGCCUCAACGGCGCUCCACCUCUUGGGUUUGCGUGGGGGUUUGCGUGGCCGUUGCCUGUCAGCGGCCCACCGCCUCUUGGGUUUGCGUGGGGGUUUGCAUGGCGGUUCCACGUCAGCGACCCUCCGCCUCUUGGGUUCGGGUGAUGAUGGUUCCGCGUCAGCGGCGCUCCGCCUCUUGGGUUUCGGCGACGGCUGCGCGUCAGCGGCCCUCCGCCUCUCGGGUUUCGGUGAUGGCUGCGCGUCAGCGGCGCUCCGCCUCUCGGGUUUCGGUGAUGGCUGCGCGUCAGCGGCCCUCCGCCUCUCAGGUUUCGGUGAUGGUUGCGCGUCAGCGGCCCUCCGCCUCUCGGGUUUCGGUGGUGAUUCCAGGUCAGCGGCGCUCCGCCUCUCGGGUUUCGGUGGUGAUUCCAGGUCAGCGGCCCUCCGCCUCUCAGGUUUCGGAGACGGCUGUGCGUCAGCGGCGCUCCGCCUCUCGGGUUUCGGUGAUGGUUGCGCGUCAGCGGCGCUCCGCCUCUCGGGUUUUGGUGAUGGUUGCGUGUCAGCGGCGCUCCGCCUCUCGGGUUUCGGUGGUGAUUCCAGGUCAGCGGCCCUCCGCCUCUCGGGUUUCGGUGAUGGUUGCACGUCAGCGGUGCUCCACCUCUCGGGUUUCGGUGGUGAUUCCAGGUCAGCGGCCCUACGCCUCUCGGGUUUUGGCGAUGGUUGCACGUCAGCGACGCUCCACCUCUCGGGUUUCGGCGAUGGCUGCGCGUCAGCGGCGCUCCGCCUCUCGGGUUUCGGCGACGGCUGCGCGUCAGCAGUGGCGCUCCGCCUCUCGGGUUUCGGCGACGGCUGCGCAUCAGCGGCGCUCCGCCUCUCGGGUUUCGGCGACAGCUGCGCGUCAGCGGCGCUCCGCCUCUCGGGUUUCGAUGAUGGCUGCGUGUCAGCGGCGCUCCGCCUCUCGGGUUCCGGUGGUGAUUCCAGGUCAGCGGCGCUCCGCCUCUCGGGUUUCGGCGACGGCUGCGCAUCAGCGGCGCUCCGCCUCUCGGGUUUCAAUGACGGCUGCGCGUCAGCGGCCCUCCGCCUCUCGGGUUUCGGCGACGGCUGCGAGUCAGCGGCGCUCCGCCUCUCGGGUUUCGGCGACGGCUGCGCGUCAGCGGCGCUCCGCCUCUCGGGUUUCGGUGGUGAUUCCAGGUCAGCGGCGCUCCGCCUCUCAGGUAUCGGUGAUGGCUGCGUGUCAGCGGCGCUCCGCCUCUCAGGUGUCGGUGAUGGCUGCGUGUCAGCGGCGCUCCGCCUCUCGGGUUUCGGUGGUGAUUCCAGGUCAGCGGCGCUCCGCCCCUCGGGUUUCGGCGACGGCUGCGCGUCAGCGGCGCUCCGCCCCUCGGGUUUCGGCGACGGCUGCGCCUCAGCGGCGCUCCGCCCCUCGGGUUUCGGCGACGGCUGCGCGUCAGCGGCGCUCCGCCCCUCGGGUUUCGGCGACGGCUGCGCCUCAGCGGCGCUCCGCCCCUCGGGUUUCGGCGACGGCUGCGCCUCAGCGGCGCUCCGCCCCUCGGGUUUCGGCGACGGCUGCGCGUCAGCGGCGCUCCGCCUCUCGGGUUUCGGUGGUGAUUCCAGGUCAGCGGCCCUCCACCUCUCGGGUUUCGGUGAUGGCUGCGCGUCAGCGGCGCUCCGCCUCUCAGGUUUCGGUGAUGGCUGCGCCUCAGCGGCGCUCCGCCUCUCGGGUUUCGGUGAUGGUUGCGCGUCAGCGGCGCUCCGCCUCUCGGGUUUCGGUGGUGAUUCCAGGUCAGCGGCCCUCCGCCUCUCGGGUUUCGGUGAUGGUUGCACGUCAGCGGCGCUCCACCUCUCGGGUUUCGGUGGUGAUUCCAGGUCAGCGGCCCUCCGCCUCUCGGGUUUCGGUGAUGGUUGCGCGUCAGCGGCGCUCCGCCUCUCAGGUUUCAGUGAUGGCUGUGUGUCAGCAGCGCUCCGCCUCUCGGGUUUCAGUGAUGGCUGCGCGUCAGCGGCGCUCCGCCUCUCGGGUUUCGGUGGUGAUUCCAGGUCGGUGGCCCUCCGCCUCUCGGGUUUCGGUGAUGGUUGCGCGUCAGCGGCGCUCCGCCUCUCGGGUUUCGGUGAUGGCUGCGCGUCAGCGGCGCUCCGCCUCUCAGGUUUCGGUGAUGACUGCGCGCCAGCGGCGCUCCGCCUCUUGGGUUUCGGUGAUGGCUGCGCGUCAGCGGCGCUCCGCCUCUUGGGUUUCCGUGGCGGUUCCGCGUGAGCGACCCUCCGCCUCUUGGGUUCAGGUGAUGCUGGUUCCGCGUGAGCGACCCUCCGACUCUUGGGAUCAGGUGAUGCUGGUUCCGCGUCAGCGGCCCUCCGCUUCUUAAGUGUGCGGGGUGGUUCCGCGUCAGCGGCGCUCCGCCUCUCGGG
ensembl:lincRNA